GAGCUGUAAAUUGCAGGACCGGCAAAGACUCGAAGCCUUGUUCUGCUUCUUUCAAGUUGUUCUUUCUGCUUUCAUUUGCCGUCCAGUUUCUGAGUCAAAUUCAGUUAGUUGGUCUCCAGAUAGAGGUCAGAAUUUUACCUGUAUAUCAGCAGUGCCCUGUUUGCCAUUUGCCUGCUGCCCCCCGCCUUUUUAUUUUCCUUCCUGGUUGCUACAUUUAUGGAGUUCUAGCUAAAUUGGUGUGGGGUUUAUUUCUACAUUAGAUAUAAUUUCUUAGUUUAGAAGAUACCAGUAGGAGAAUUUAAGUCAGUGCCUUCAGCAGUGGGUUAAUGUGCAUCUUAAAGCAGCCUUACUCCUGGAUAGAAAAGCCCCUUAUGGCAAUUCUUUUUCAAGGUGCCACACAGAAAAAGCAACAACAUAGAUGGUAUUUUCUAGAGAACAAAGUUUGUAAAGAACUGUCUUAAUACUUGACCAAAAUGAAUCUUUAAAAUACACUCCAGGCUGCAGUUGCUGAUUGCCUCAAUUAAAGAAGGUGUGGGGGGGAAAAAGCAGAGACUGAAAACCAGAUGAUGGUUAUUCUGAAUAUUGCUAGACCAAAUGUCCAUCAAAACUACAUGGAGAAGAAAGAAAUGUUGAACAUACAAGCUUUAGUGAAUGGUCUUUAUCUUAAUGCUGCUCUUUCCUCAACAGUCUUGCUCUCCUGAAUACGAGGAUCAGGGCUCAUCUGCAAAACAGACUGAUGAGGUGACAUUUGUCCCUUUGCCAGAGGUCUGAGUUGUACCUGCGUGUUGGCAGAGCCACAGCAAGAGCAGCUGAAAGCCCCAGUUCAGCUCAUGUCUGACAAGCGAGGAGAAUGUGGAUACUCACGCAGGGGAAGUUUCACAUAGGCUUUUGCCUCUUCUGGAAGGGUCAGGUUCUUUUAACUGCUGUCUCCUGGUAUUUUCUGAAUCGAACGGGUAAAAAGUUUCUGCUGCUUGAUGCUCACUGCACUGGACUAUGGAUGCACUCCAUGGGGGCUCCCACGUUCUGGUUAUCUGCUCCUCAUGACCUGGCUCCUGGUGUUGUCUAAUGUAGAUUCUGGUUCCGAGUCGUGAUACCUGUUUGUUAUCAGCCUGCAUUUGUCUUGUCUGCCUCCCUCCUGGCUCUGGACUUUCGUCUGUCCUGUGAGGUCCUUGCCAGACUGACCUCAGUCAGCACCGGUUGGUUGAUGAGGACUCAGAAGUUUAUUCUGUUUAUUGAGACUUGGUGUUUCACCAUUGUUUUUACAAGCCAGCAGUUUCUCAGGUGUAACAAAAGCUAAUGAUAAGGCACAGCCCUGUGUUUGCUUUGAGUAAGAUUUUAAGCUUUUCAUUACUUUGAGCCAUUUAAGGUAUUAAUAUUUUCUUAAGAAAAAGCAUGUAUGUUUUUUUUAUCUAAACCAUGUUCUGCAAAAGAUUUAAGUUCCAAAACUCUGUUUUGUUUAGCUGUUUCUGUGAGUGUUUGUCCAUGUUUUCACACUUCUGGGUACAUUUCCUACUGUUUUUGUCAUGCUAACCAUCUGGUUGAGGCUUUUGUGCUUGAAACUCUGACCAUAAUUUGACUGUUUAAUAGUGCAGAAUAAAAGUUGUCUAUUAAUACAUUUGACUCCGAAGCCAUUAUUCCAAUGCAAUUACAACAACAAACCCUUGUACUAUUACUUGUUUUAUAUUUUAG
rnacentral:lncRNA from 1 species